AUGAAAUGAGAACCACGCCUUUUGAGUUGUCAAAAAAAAGAAAAGAAAAAAGCUCCUGGAUUCUGUGCUUGGCACAUGCAGUGCACCUGAGAAGAGUGAAGACUGAAGAGGGCCUUCUCUGGGAGGUCAGUUUUUGACUGCCCGCAUGCAUAAAGUGCCCUGAACUGAUGCCCCCUUACAUUGCUUUUGUAGCAGUAAGAUUACAUUAAUUCUAGGGAUGGCAUGCCACUGGACCCCCAUAGGAGGUUCACAUAUUUGUCACCUUUUUCACACCUGAUGAGUUUGCAACCCUGUCCCACACUAAUAUGUUUUCAUUUGAAAAAGCAAAGAAAUAUUUACGAUUCUCAUCUACAAUAAAACAGCAUUUUCCUCCUCCGAAUGCUCUUCAAAUCCACAUACUUUGGAAAAUUAUGAGUUUUCAAACUAAAAUGGAUUUGAGUAGACUAAAGCUGUAUAAAGGUCCUACAUCAUGUGGCCUAAAGUGGGGCAGCUGUGGCUCAGGUGAUAGAGUGGGUUUGCUACUAAUCGCAGGGUUGGCAUUCGCAGUUUGAUUCCUGGCCCACAUGGCUCCACAUGCCAAAGUGUCCUUGGGCAAGACACUGAACCCCAAGUUG